ACUUCAGGGCUAGUCUCCCUUAGAGCAACUUAGGCUGAGAUUUUAACCCACAAUAUCCAGGCUAGCAUGCUAGCCUGAUUCCUUAACCGCUACCGCAUCCUCUGUAAGCCAGAAAAUAAUUGAGAUGUAGUGAGAUACGUGUUUGUAUGUUAAAAUAAUGAUUUUAUACAGUUAGGCAUGUAUCCAAGUAUCAAAUGAAUCAUGCCUUCUCCCUCCGCCCCGUCUCUUCAGCCCCAGGACCGAGGCGUUCAGGUGGCGUGACUGGCAUGCCCUGUCUGCAAUCCUCCCUUUCAGUAAGCCCCAGGACCGAGGCGUUGAGGUGGCGUGACUGGCGUGAAUUCGGCGUGCCCUGUCUGCAAUCCUGCCUUUCAGGGCAGUAAGGACAAGAUCCACCCACCACCCAGUGCAUGCUACAUAUGUGUGUGUAAUAAAUUGAGAGGGAAAAUGUGUGUGUGAUAUAUGAA